AGUUAUGUUUUUGAUACGCUUAUUUAUUUUAUUUAUUUAUUUAUUUUUUUGGCACCCAAUAGACUUAAGUUGAUUGAUGAGCAGUGGUUCUCUGAAUAUAGGGCUUGUCAACAUGGUUACAAAAUUUAUGAUUACAUACAUCAGUUACAUCAGUUUGUGUUUGUGUGCGGUUUAUGUUUUGAAUUGGUUAUGGCUAGUUUAUUUAGAUAGUUUGGUUGUUAAUAAAUUUAAAUUGAACUCGUUCUGUGAUUUUCAUUAUUGGGAGAAGGCAGAAAUGUCUGCCCGAUGUGAAAAUGUGCAGCAAGUGGUUGUACAUCGCAGCCUCAUGACCGGCGAUUUUACCUAUUUCCACGCGGGAGGACAGAUGCUGAAAGAGCUAGGUAUCAGAUAUGGGCUGAUUUUUCGGGAUGCACCACCCUAAAUGCCUGUUUUUGUGACCUCCAUUUUGACGAGCAUCAGUUUCAUGAUUCUGACAGGCUGCUCCUGGCUCCAGGAGCAAUACCAACAGUCAAGGCUGUUAAUGGGGGUGUGUUGCCAUUAAGGGAAGAAUCUGGUGAUCAAACAUCUACAGGCAAGACUGAGACCUCUCCGACGGUUUGUCAAUUACACUGUGAAAAUAUUUGUGGUGCAAUUUUGGAUUCAGUGAUCUAUGUCUCAUCGGUGUUGGUGAACUAGAAGAAACAGAGAGUUUAAAAAGUUGUACAAGGAAAGAGCAGACAAGAGAAAAAUGAAGAUACUAAAACGAGUGCACCAACAUCUUCUCCAGCGGCGGGGGCCGGGCGCUGGCGACGCUGGCGGGCGUCCCGUUCCUGGGGAGCCUGCCCGUGGACUCCAGGCUGGGGCGGUGCGGCGAGACGGGGCGCAGCUGCCUGGCGGAGUUCCCCGAGUCCCCGGCCGCGGGGCUGUUCCGCGCCCUCGUGGCGCGCCUGGCCGCGCCGUGCUAGCCCCCUCCCCGGCUCCGCGGUCACGUCACUCCGCGUCCGUGCUUCAUGUCCGGGUUCCGCCGACUCUCGAUCCAUGCUUUUGAAUGGUAUGUUUCAUAUCUGACGAUGACAGGCAAGAUUUUACGGUUUCGUGUAUAAAGUAACGCAGUAGAAGCCGCUAAUCUGGACUAGAUGAGACUGGAUCUUGCCUGCAUCUCUGGAAGUUCGGACCAAAUGGAAUUCGUUUUGAAAUGCAUGUUGUACCAUUUUUUUUAUGAUAGGUAAAGCGUGUCCGAGAUUCCUGUCAUAAGUGUAAUUCUAGCAUGAGAGCACAUUGAUUUGCUUGUUACCGAGGUUAUAUGUCACACGUCUGUCGAGUACCGAAAGAGACUCUGACUUUUUUUUAUAUAGUAUAUAUAAACGGUUUAUCUUUGUAUCUGUAUAUUAAGCAUAUUAAACUGCAAAAACUGUAAAAAAAAAAAAAAAAAAUUAACAUAAACACUACUUUUUUUCUUCUACAGCUUAAUUUCUGUUUCAAUACUGCUGGUGUUUAACCUAUGAACUGUUGUAGCCUGAUUAGUGGGACUAGCUGUAUCUGAAUUUUCAAUUAUUACAGUGUUAUAGUUUUAUUCUUGUAAAUGCCUCUUUUUUUUUUUUUUUUUUUUUUUUUUGUGGUGAAUUGCGAGAAAAAUGGAAUAACACUACAAUGUGAGUCAAAGGCAACUUAACGCACGGCGUACGGACUGUUCACGCAGGUUUGUGAACAAAGAAAAUCAAAGUAUGUAAAUUUUUUUUAAAAAAAAAAGAAUUAAUUUUAUAUUAAAUUUUGUAUACUUAUUAUCAUUUAACUAUUACAUGAGCCAAUACAACUAUAAUAGCAAUGUAGUUAAAAGUUUUUAUCAAGCAGCUUGUGUUUGAUGCAAGAACAGAUGUUUUCACUUAAAAAAAUUCAACAUGAUCAAAUAUAAAUUGUGGUUAAACCACAAAAUUGUGGCCAAGUUGCAGAAAACUGGGGGCUCUACUGUACCUGUUCAGCCGCACUACAAAAAUAUUUUUUUAUUGAACCACUCUGAUGUCUAAAUGUAUAUAUAUAUAUUUUUUUAAAUAACAAAGUUUGUAAACUAAUUUAUUUUUCUGUUAAAAUUAUAUCAAAUAUAUGAUGAAAAAUAA